rnacentral:rRNA from 1 species
GAUGAACGCUGGCGGCGUGCCUAAUACAUGCAAGUCGAGCGAACAGACGAGGAGCUUGCUCCUCUGACGUUAGCGGCGGACGGGUGAGUAACACGUGGAUAACCUACCUAUAAGACUGGGAUAACUUCGGGAAACCGGAGCUAAUACCGGAUAAUAUAUUGAACCGCAUGGUUCAAUAGUGAAAGACGGUUUUGCUGUCACUUAUAGAUGGAUCUGCGCCGCAUUAGCUAGUUGGUAAGGUAACGGCUUACCAAGGCAACGAUGCGUAGCCGACCUGAGAGGGUGAUCAGCCACACUGGAACUGAGACACGGUCCAGACUCCGACGGGAGGCAGCAGUAGGGAAUCUUCCGCAAUGGGCGAAAGCAGGACGGAGCAACGCCGCGUGAGUGAUGAAGGUCUUCGGAUCGUAAAACUCUGUUAUUAGGGAAGAACAAAUGUGUAAGUAACUAUGCACGUCUUGACGGUAACUAAUCAGAAAGCCACGGCUAACUACGUG